CGGCGUGUGGAAGGUCACCUGUGAACAUCGUUACCAGACAGUGUUAGAGCUGAGUGGAGAAAUCCAGCACUGUCCGGUAAGAUGCCCACAGAGACCCAGGAUGGCAGGGUGGA
rnacentral:miRNA from 1 species